rnacentral:rRNA from 1 species
CCUACGGGAGGCAGCAGUAGGGAAUAUUGCUCAAUGGGGGAAACCCUGAAGCAGCAACGCCGCGUGGAGGAUGAAGGUUUUCGGAUUGUAAACUCCUUUUGUUAGAGAAGAUAAUGACGUUAUCUAACGAAUAAGCACCGGCUAACUCCGUGCCAGCAGCCGCGGUAAUACGGAGGGUGCAAGCGUUACUCGGAAUCACUGGGCGUAAAGAGCGCGUAGGCGGGAUAGCAAGUCUGAUGUGAAAUCCUAGGGCUUAACCAUAGAACUGCAUUUGAAACUGGUAUUCUAGAGUAUGCGAGAGGUAGGUGGAAUUCUUGGUGUAGGGGUAAAAUCCGUAGAGAUCAAGAGGAAUACUCAUUGCGAAGGCGACCUGCUAGAACAUAACUGACGCUGAUGCGCGAAAGCGUGGGGAGCAAACAGGAUUAGAUACCCGAGUAGUC